GGGCAGGUAGCUCAGUCGGUAGAGCAGAAGACUGAAAAUCUUCGUGUCGGCAGUUCGAUUCUGCCCCUGCCCACCA
rnacentral:tRNA from 1 species